UAGGAAGGUAAUCGCAGAUUAGGAUCCCAGUUUAGACCACGAAGAGCAAAAAGAAGAAAUUGUUUCUGGACUGACUCAAUGCGAUCCUGAAGCAGUUUAUACUGAGGACACCAAACACAUGAGCAGUAUUCUAGCACUGGUCGUACUAAAGAACUGUAAAGUAGCUUGGUAGUAUAGGGAUCGUUAAAUUCUCUAGACCAUCGUUUAAUAAAACCAAGAACACCAUUAGCUUUGUUAACGAUAGUGGAGAUGUGAAGAUUGAAAUUCAAUUUGGAAUCAAAAAGAACUCCAAGAUCUUCAACUGUAGAUAUACAGUGCAAUGGUAUAUUGUCAAUCGCAUAAGUACCAAGAUGUGGUCUGGACCGGUGAAAAGUCAUAAACUUGCAUUUAGAACAGUUAAGGUGCAGGUGGUUGACCAAGCACCACCGUUGAAAACAGUUUAGCUCAUACUGCAGACGAGACUGAUAAAGCGGAUCUUUAUACGAAAAAAUAAGCUUUACAUCAUCGGCAUACAUUAGUAUACGGGAAUGCAGCAGGAUAGACGGAAGAUCAUUAAUAAAUAGAGUGAAUAAUAGGGGGCCGAGAUGACUACCUUGAGGUACGCCCGAAGUUACGAUAACAGGCUUAGAAAUAUUUUACCUGAGUAGUACCUUCUGUGUCCUAUUUUUUAAGUAUGAGGAAAUCCUAUUCAAAGCGUUUGACGGAAAUCCCAUACGAGAUAGCUUUAAGAGGAGAAGGUCGUGAUUCACAGAAUCAAAUGCUUUGCUGAAGUCAGUAUAUAUAACAUCAGCUUGCAUCUUUGCUAGGAAUGCAUCAUUUAUGACAGAUGUAAAUUCUAGCAGAUUAGUCGUUGUUGACCGUUGUUGAUCCAUGCUGAGCAGGGGAGAUUACAGACUUACAAUGAUGCUGUAAAGAGGAAGUAAUUAUUUUUUCAAAUAAUUUAGGAAUAGCAGACAGUUUGACAAUGCCCCUAUAGUUAGAAAUGUCUGACUUACAACCCUUUUUGUGGAGUGGUAUAAUAAACGAUUCUUUCCAAAAAGCAGGAAAGAUUUCGUUCUCAAGGGACAGAUUAAAAAGCUUAAGCAACUGCUUGCAGAGGGAGGUACUACACUUUUUGAGCACACAACUAGGAAUGUUGUCAGGCCCAGGAGAGAAUGAAGCUUUUACAGAUUGUAUAUUAGACAAAAUACAAGAAUCUGUAAUUAUUGGAGCAAAAGUGAAAUUUGAAGGCAUAAUGCAUUUGGAGCGGUCAUUUCAUAAAAGGUUUGAUCGCUCUAGAUGUCUUAAACUCUGAUGAUAGCAAUAUCAUCAGAGUAGUUUCAUGCAGAGUCUUCGGCUUCAAGACCUUCAUGUUUCACUCCGGUCAUUAGGAGUGGUCCAUGUUGGUUCCAUCACGUUUCUACAGAUCCUUACUACCUUGGCAUAACACCCAAAUAAGGUACAAAGUAAACGGAAUUCGGGUCCAACACCUGUCGUCGCUACUAAUUAUCAGAAAUCUACUGGAAUGCGGUAGCAUAGGCGCUGGAAGGACCAGACAUUCCGGAAAAAAAAUAGCCAACUGCCUCGUCAUCUAAUUAGUGUCGCGCAUGAAUGGGUUAACGAGAUUUCUACUCUCCCUAUGUACUAUCUAGCGAAAACACAGCCAAGGGAACCGGCUUGGAAUAAUUAGUGGGGAAAGAAGACCCUUUUGAGCUUGACUCUAAUCUGGCACUGUAAGGAGACUUAAGAGGUGUAGAAUAAAAUAAUAACAUUAGAUUUCGGUUUACUAUCGCCAAUUAAAUACCACUACUCUUAUUUUUUCCUUACUUACUUGAUUUAAUGGAUUUCCUAGCCAUUAUACGGGUAUAUUUUUAUAUGUCUUAUGGUAUUGGGUUUUGAUGCAAGCUUCUUGAUCAAAGUGUCAUAAGUUUGUUAUAUAAUUUCAAACAAAUUUUAUAAUGAGACGAUGCGCAUUUAUGUGUGUUUUCAAUUUAUGAAUUUGGUAUAACACCAAUUACUCCGGUAUGAUCCAAUUAAAGGACAUUGCCAGGUAGAGAGUUUGACUGGGGCGGUACAUCUCUCCAAUAAUAACGGGAGUGUGCAAGGCCAGCCCAGUGCGGACAGAAACCACACAUAGAGCAAAAGGGAAAAAGUUGACUUGAUCUCGGUGUCCAGUACACGCAGGGACAGCAAAAGCUCGGUCUAUCGAUCCUUUUGGUUUAAAGAGUUUUUAGUCAGAGGUGUCAGAAAAGUUACUAUAGGGAUAACUGGCUUGUGGCGAACAUGCGUUCAUAGCGACGUCGCUUUUUUAUCCUUCGAUUUUCGGCUCUUCCUAUCAUUGGGAAGCAAAAUUCACCAAGCGUUGGAUUGUUAUCCCAUGCAAAAGAACUUGAGCUGGGUUUAGGCCGUCAGGUUAGUUUUACCCUACUAAUGACAAAAACGUUGUUGCGACAGCAUUCCUGCGUAGUAUGAGAGGAACCGCAAGUACGGACCUAUGGCACAAUACUUGUUCGAGCGAACAAUGGUAUGGUAUGAUAAGGUCGUAUCCGUGCUGGACUGCAAUGAUAAAAAGGGGACAAUUUGCACUGUAUGGCUUCUAAAUCAUUAAAAGUUUAUAUGCAUUUAUAAACGACAAUGAAUGUGAUACCAAUGUUAUGAGUAACAUAGAUAACUUUGGAGGAUCUUCGAUCACCUGGUGCCAAUGCUAGUUACUUAUAUAUAUACAGGGUGCGCCAUCUUUUAUGUCCGUAUAUAACAUUGAAAAUAAACAACCGAUUUUCAAGUAUGAGAUAUUUUUAUUUAAUUUGGUUCUGUACAAUUUCUUCAGACUAAUUUUUGAAAACAACAUCAAUAGAGUGGACACAGCAAAAUGUGUCAUUUUUGCUGCGUUUUCCAUCACUUUUUCUAGCAUCUCAG
rnacentral:rRNA from 1 species